ACACAUUUUCCUAACAAAUACUUUGCAUUUUGCAGAUUCUUCAGCAGGACCAGUGGCUUGUGUGGGAGCCAGAGCACUCGAGACAGAGCAGGAUGACGGAGCUGUGGGCCUGGGCACUAUCCAGAGUGUUCCACAGGUCCCCAGUCUGCAUUGCAUCCCACAGGGCCCCCAACAGCCCUGCCGUGCCCGUCAGGGUGACCCAGAGGUCCCAGGACCAAGAGCCAAAUACCAGAGAGGCAUCGCACAAUGGAAGUGCGCAGAAUGUCAACUUGUAUAACCCAGCUGGAGAAACAGCCUCUGGCUUAUGCCUUUAUGCAUCCUGUGAUGACCAAGAAGCAGAGGAUUGACCAAGAGCCCAGUGGUAUCCAGCCAGCAGCUGGUGGCCGCUCUCCUUCUUUAUUGGACCUGCCUUCAGCAUCCUGCUCAAUUUUGAACCUGUCUCCAAGUGUCAGCUCCAUUUCCACCU
rnacentral:lncRNA from 1 species